AGGUGCCAUGGGUUGACUGCUGUGCCAGGCUAGGUGCAUGAGGAGGAGGUCACGGGACAGACCCAGCAGGUGCCAUGGGUUGACUGCUGUGCCAGGCUAGGUGCAGGAGGAGGAGGUCACGGGACAGACCCAGCAGAUGCCAUGGGUUGACUGUUGUGCCAGGCUAGGUGCAGGAGGAGGAGGUCACGGGACAGACCCAGCAGGUGCCAUGGGUUGGCUGCUGUGCCAGGCUAGGUGCACGAGGAGGAGGUCACGGGACAGACCCUGCAGGUGCCAUGGGUUGACUACUGUGCCAGGCUAGGUGCAGGAGGAGGAGGUCACGGGACAGACCCUGCAGGUGCCGUGGGUUGACUGCUGUGCCAGGCUAGGUGCAGGAGGAGGUCACGGGACAGACCCUGCAGGUGCCAUGGGUUGACUGCUGUGCCAGGCUAGGUGCAGGAGGAGGAGGUGGUCACGGGACAGACCCAGCAGGUGCCAUGGGUUGACUGCUGUGCCAGGCUAGGUGCAUGAGGAGGAGGUCACGGGGCAGACCCAGCAGGUGCCAUGGGUUGACUGCUGUGCCAGGCUAGGUGCACGAGGAGGAGGUCACGGGGCAGACCCAGCAGGUGCCACGGGUCGACUGACCGAGAUGACCGAGAUGACUGGCUGAUGCACCACCUGUGCCCCCUACUGUAC